rnacentral:rRNA from 1 species
CCUACGGGGUGCAGCAGUGGGGAAUAUUGCACAGUGGGCGCAAGCCUGAUGCAGCCAUGCCGCGUGUGUGAAGAAGGCCUUCGGGUUGUAAAGCACUUUCAGCGGGGAGGAAGGCGUUAAGGUUAAUAACCUUGGCGAUUGACGUUACCCGCAGAAGAAGCACCGGCUAACUCCGUGCCAGCAGCCGCGGUAAUACGGAGGGUGCAAGCGUUAAUCGGAAUUACUGGGCGUAAAGCGCACGCAGGCGGUCUGUCAAGUCGGAUGUGAAAUCCCCGGGCUCAACCUGGGAACUGCAUUCGAAACUGGCAGGCUAGAGUCUUGUAGAGGGGGGUAGAAUUCCAGGUGUAGCGGUGAAAUGCGUAGAGAUCUGGAGGAAUACCGGUGGCGAAGGCGGCCCCCUGGACAAAGACUGACGCUCAGGUGCGAAAGCGGGGGGAGCAAACAGGAUUAGAUACCCCAGUAGUC